GGGUUGUGAGGUUAAGCGACUAAGCGUACACGGUGGAUGCCCUGGCAGUCAGAGGCGAUGAAGGACGUGCUAAUCUGCGAAAAGCGUCGGUAAGGUGAUAUGAACCGUUAUAACCGGCGAUGUCCGAAUGGGGAAACCCAGUGUGAUUCGUCACACUAUCGUUAACUGAAUACAUAGGUUAACGAGGCGAACCGGGGGAACUGAAACAUCUAAGUACCCCGAGGAAAAGAAAUCAACCGAGAUUCCCCCAGUAGCGGCGAGCGAACGGGGAGCAGCCCAGAGUCUGAAUCAGCUUGUGUGUUAGUGGAACGGUCUGGAAAGUCCGACGGUACAGGGUGAUAGUCCCGUACACCAAAAUGCACAGGCUGUGAACUCGAAGAGUAGGGCGGGACACGUGGUAUCCUGUCUGAAUAUGGGGGGACCAUCCUCCAAGGCUAAAUACUC
rnacentral:rRNA from 1 species